GUGUUCUAUUCAUUGCUUUGGCUGUGGGAUUAUUCACUGUGAUAAUAAUCGCUGUGGCGAUCGUCGGCUGGAGAGUGAAACGAAAGAAAACACUGAGAGAUGAAAACACUGUUAAUGUGAAUGCAGGGGAUGUUUUCUACUCCACCAUCAGACACCGUGAGAACAGUGAUGAAAUUUUGGUUCACGGCGAUCUUGAAACGGUGACCUACAGCACUGUGAGAAAUCAUUGUUAAUCUGCUGCAGCAUCUGAUAAACCUCUAAUCUCUUUGACAAAGGCAAGAUGUAGCCACAGCAAGAACUGGCAGGACAGUCGGGCUCUAUUAAGUAGCUGUCUCAAGCGGUGCAAUCACAUUUUCUAAUGGUGCUAUAGUAAUGUCAGCAGAUGGCACCGGGUCUUUAUCUGUGCACUUAUCACACUUUUUCCUGGAAUACAGAGAAUUGUUACAAGACUGGAUGCUGGUAUACAUAACCUUAUUUUAUCAAGAUAUUUUUUUUAAACAUAUAACUUAGCUAUGCACCUUCUAAGCUCUGUAGAAAAUGUGUUGCAACAUUACUGAUUCGUCAAAGCUGCAUAUAAGCUUAAAAUGUUCACUAGGGCUAUGGUAAAUUUUGGUCUAAAACUGUCAGAAUGCUGCCCUCUAGGGGUUGGAGAUUGACCACUGUGGCUGAAUUGUGCUCUUCGGUUGGAUGCCAGCCGUAAAAAAUGGUCAAUGUCUACAUCACAGCCCAGGUUUCAGUAUAAAAUUAUUUCAUUUUAAUUACACAACCUUAGCCUGCUGGGGUACAGGAAAAAAAAAUCUACGGUGAAUCUAGCAGCAUUUAUUUGCUUACUCUUCAAGUUAAUUCAAGCUUCUGUUUCCUGCUUUAGCUUUACAAUAAACUGAGUUGAUGCGACCCAUCAAUGUGUUAACUACGUAUAUUUCUCUGUCCAUUGGCGGUUGAAACCCCCAGAGCUCUGCUGCUGCUAUUCACCACA